rnacentral:rRNA from 1 species
GUGGAUUAGAUACCCUGGUAGUCCACGCCCUAAACGAUGUCGACUGGUUGUUGGGGGUUUGACACUCUCAGUAACGAAGCUAACGCGUGAAGUCGACCGCCUGGGGAGUACGGCCGCAAGGUUAAAACUCAAAGGAAUUGACGGGGACCCGCACAAGCGGUGGAUUAUGUGGAUUAAUUCGAUGCAACGCGAAAAACCUUACCUACCCUUGACAUGUCCGAGAGCUCGCUGAGAGGCGGGUGUGCCCGAAAGGGAAUCGGAACACAGGUGCUGCACGGCCGUCGACAGCU